GCUCACUUCGGCAUCACAUAUACUAAAAUCGAAAUGAUAGAGAAGAUUAGCAUGGCCCCUGCGCAAGCAUGACACGCAAAUUCAUGAUGCGUUCCAUAUUUUU